CCUUCCUUUCAGUUCAGUAAUCACCACAAGAGUCACCAGGGGAAUUACAAUUCACAAAGAAGAUUUGAUCCCCAGUUUUGAGGAGCCCAGAAUUCUGAAGCCAAAAGGCCCAAGGAGCUUCUGUCUAGGAUCCAGCUGUGUGGAGAGUCCAAGAAGUAUCUUCCUCCACCUUCCGGACAUCUUUUAUCUACCUCAGGAAAAGCUCUUGUGACAACAGAGAAAUGUGGCCCUUUGCUAGGUCACAGACCAGAGAGGUUUGGAGCAGCUUUCACUCAGCUGGGGGGGAGAGAGGGGGGAGGCCCUUGGUCAGCAAUCUGCUACCGAGGGAUCAGCAUGGCAGGGUUUUAAUAAAUAAUUGGCCAGAGGCUGCAGCUUCUCUGUUCCAAUACUUAAUGCCGUCAUCACUGAGCAUCCAAGUUGAGGGGACCUGUGGUUGAACCUAGGCUCCUUUCCCAGCCCUUAUUUCUCACUGGGGAGUCUGAUCUGGGAAGAAGCUCCUGCCCAUCCCCAGGCUUUCUUCACAGGGAUUGGUGACCUCAGUUGAGCAUGUGACAUCACUUAAGUGUGUGCUGGAGAAAGGGAAGGCCUUGGGAACAAAAGUGUUCAUCGCUAUUGACUCUUAACGAGAAAAAGCUCAUUAAAAACGUUCUUAAUCUCUCCAAUAACAUUGGUACAACAAGUGUGAUCUAUCUUCACUAUACCAAUAUGUCCAUAAUUCUAAGGUUGGCCAAACAAUGGAGAAAUCUUUAAAAGUAUCUCAUAAGAACUAGGCUUGAACGGACUUUAACUUGUUAUGAAACCUAAAGAACUUGGGGCUUGAUUCUACACAAACUGCCAAGUUUUCUAAAUCUUCACCAUUCCAGUUCUAACACAACAUGAGGCUUCAGUUUUACCUAGGUAGACUAUUUGAAGCCUUCCAGUUUUCUCAGUGGGGGGGGAAGUCAAACUUCUAGCUUAACAACUGUACUUUAAUUCCUAUUAAUUAGCCCAAGCACCAGCAAGUGCUAGAGAUGACCUGGUCGUGCCGUUUUAACCUUCUCUUGCCAGAACGAAAUAAGGGAAUGACUUAGAAAUGGCUCUUUCCUGGUGUUUGAAAGCAAUUAUAGAUUUUUUCUUUUUUUUUCUUUUUUUUUUGGCAAAUGCAAUUGGAGUCAAUGACCUGCACAGGAUAAUAAGUAUUAAGUCUGAGACUGAAUUUGCACUCGGGUCUUCCUGAUUUCAGGGCCAGUGCUCUCUGUACACUGUGUAAUUCAGCUGCCCUGUAGCUUUAGUCAUAAUCCCAUUUGGUACUUGAUUAUUCCUCUGACCUUUACUACUCAAGGCCUUCAAUUUUUCUGAGCUUCUUUAAUAUAAAAUAACAGAUUUAAACUAGGUAACUUGUCUGCCAUCCCUACUUUAUCGCUCUUUUAUUUAUGCUCUUAUCGCAUUAGUUUUUAAGCUCUCUUGCCCAGAUGUGUAUGAUUCGUGAGAUGCCUUGUGACAUCUUUUCACCUUUUGAUCCGAUUUUUCUUGAACAGCAUGAUGAAUAUGGAAAUAUGUUUAGAAGAAUUGCACAUUUAACCUACAUUGGAUUGCUUGCUGUCUAGGGGAG